rnacentral:lncRNA from 1 species
UACUGAAUCAUUUCACUCAAAGCCUUGUCCAUUAUCAGCAGUCUUCUUCAUUAAGGAAGUCUUGCCCAGCAUCAGAAUGGCUGUGCUAGGACAACUCUGAUCUGCGAAAACUACUACAGAGCUUCCCUUUUCGGAGAACUAAUGCAAUUCCAGAGCCCACAACAGCAUUCAGACCUAGCUAACAGCAACAGAGCACCUCACACUCACUGUGCUUGUGACAUUUCCUUGUACCAAGCCUUCAACAAAGAGCUGGGAUUUGAACUCCUUGACAAAGCUCAGCAGAGACUCAAGGGAAAGGCCAUCCAUCAAAGCCCGGUACUUGUCAAUCAUAGACCAACGGGCAUAUUCCAGGAUUAAAAGCCGUACAUCUCUAUAUAGAGGGCAGAAAAAAGACAUAGUUUUAUCAUUUUGAAAUGAAUCUUAAGGUAAAAAAAGAUUCUACAGAUGAUGUGUUUCUAAAGAGACACAAUUUCUAUCAUAACUUAAGAUGGGAGAAACAAUGUCAUAAUCACCAAAAAGUAUUUAUAAAAUUACAUAUACAAAAUUAUGCAUAGAUUUACUCACUGGUACAGCUCAAGUAUCUCAGUUGCAAAAUAAAAUACUUCACAUUAGGUUAACACAUGAGUCACACACACCAAUUUAAAAUUAUUACUAUUUUUACUUCAAGUCUCACUAACAUUUUAUUAAUUACUAAAGGCCACCAUUAUGGGUAUCUAUUACUACAGUAACUAUACAGUAUAAGUAGUGGCUCUGGGCCAGAAUCAGACUAACUCCUACUCCUCACCACCCAACUCCCCUCUCCUCACACUAAGCUAUCUGAACUUGUCAAGUUACUUCACAUCUGUGACUCAAUUUCUUCAUUUGUAAAUAAUAAUGGCUACCAUUAUAGGGUUUUGGAGAGAAAUAAAUAUAUACAUCUAACGUUUUUAGAUUUAACAAGUAACAAAUCUUCAAUAAAUAGAUAUGAUUAUUAGUUUACCACAUUUUAAUAAAGUAGCAUUCAGUAGUUAUUGGAUACAUAGGGCUAUUUUUCAUAUUGAUAGCUCUAGACAACU